rnacentral:rRNA from 1 species
AUUGAACGCUGGCGGCAGGCCUAACACAUGCAAGUCGAGCGGAUGAAGGGAGCUUGCUCCUGGAUUCAGCGGCGGACGGGUGAGUAAUGCCUAGGAAUCUGCCUGGUAGUGGGGGAUAACGUCCGGAAACGGGCGCUAAUACCGCAUACGUCCUGAGGGAGAAAGUGGGGGAUCUUCGGACCUCACGCUAUCAGAUGAGCCUAGGUCGGAUUAGCUAGUUGGUGGGGUAAAGGCCUACCAAGGCGACGAUCCGUAACUGGUCUGAGAGGAUGAUCAGUCACACUGGAAAUGGGAAACGGGCCAGACCCCCACGGGGGGCAAGAGGGGGGAAAUUUUGACAAGGGGGGAAAGCCCUGUCCAGCCAAGCCCGGGGGUGGAAAAAAGGUUUUGGGUUUGAAAAGACUUUUAUGUGGGAAGAAAGGGCAGUAAUUUAAACCCUCGCUUUUUUAGCGUAACCAAAAAAAAAGCCACCGGUAACUUCGGG